CGGGGCGUGGCGCAGCCUGGUAGCGCAUCUGCUUUGGGAGCAGAGGGUCGCUGGUUCAAAUCCAGUCGCCCCGA
rnacentral:tRNA from 1 species